UACGAAGGGGGCUAGCGUUGCUCGGAAUUACUGGGCGUAAAGCGCACGUAGGCGGAUUGUUAAGUCGGGGGUGAAAUCCUGGAGCUCAACUUCAGAAUUGCCUUCGAUACUGGCUUUCUAGAGGCUGGAAGAGGUUAGUGGAAUUCCCAGUGUAGAGGUGAAAUUCGUAGAUAUUGGGAAGAACACCAGUGGCGAAGGCGGCUAACUGGUCCAGAUCUGACGCUGAGGUGCGAAAGCGUGGGGAGCAAACAGGG
rnacentral:rRNA from 1 species